AACGAACGCUGGCGGCAGGCCUAACACAUGCAAGUCGAGCGCACCUUCGGGUGAGCGGCGGACGGGUUAGUAACGCGUGGGAACGUGCCCUUCUCUACGGAAUAGCCUCGGGAAACUGAGAGUAAUACCGUAUACGCCCUUCGGGGGAAAGAUUUAUCGGAGAAGGAUCGGCCCGCGUUGGAUUAGGUAGUUGGUGGGGUAAUGGCCUACCAAGCCGACGAUCCAUAGCUGGUUUGAGAGGAUGAUCAGCAACACUGGGACUGAGACACGGCCCAGACUCCUACGGGAGGCAGCAGUGGGGAAUCUUAGACAAUGGGGGAAACCCUGAUCUAGCCAUGCCGCGUGAGUGACGAAGGCCCUAGGGUCGUAAAGCUCUUUCAGCUGUGAAGAUAAUGACGGUAGCAGCAGAAGAAACCCCGGCUAACUCCGUG
rnacentral:rRNA from 1 species